CUGCUGCCUCCCGUAGGAGUCUGGGCCGUAUCUCAGUCCCAAUGUGGCCGGUCAACCUCUCAGUCCGGCUACUGAUCGUCGCCUAGGUGGGCCGUUACCCCGCCUACCAGCUAAUCAGACGCGAGGCCAUCUUCCAGCGAUAAAUCUUUGACAUGUCCGUGAUGCCACGGUCAUGUGUCAUGCGGUAUUAGCAGUCGUUUCCAACUGUUGUCCCCCUCUGGAAGGCAGGUUCCUCACGCGUUA
rnacentral:rRNA from 1 species